UACGUAGGGUGCAAGCGUUGUCCGGAAUUAUUGGGCGUAAAGAGCUCGUAGGCGAUUUGUCGCGUCGAAUGUGAAAACCCGGGGCUCAACCCCGGGCCUGCAUUCGAUACGGGCAGACUAGAGUUCGGUAGGGGAGUCUGGAAUUCCUGGUGUAGCGGUGAAAUGCGUAGAUAUCCGGAGGAACACCGGUGGCGAAGGCGGCUUCCUGGACCGACACUGACGCUGAGGCGCGAAAGCUAGGGGAGCAAACGGG
rnacentral:rRNA from 1 species